GAUGAACGCUGGCGGCGUGCCUAAUACAUGCAAGUCGAGCGAACAGACGAGGAGCUUGCUCCUCUGACGUUAGCGGCGGACGGGUGAGUAACACGUGGAUAACCUACCUAUAAGACUGGGAUAACUUCGGGAAACCGGAGCUAAUACCGGAUAAUAUAUUGAACCGCAUGGUUCAAUAGUGAAAGACGGUUUUGCUGUCACUUAUAGAUGGAUCCGCGCCGCAUUAGCUAGUUGGUAAGGUAACGGCUUACCAAGGCAACGAUGCGUAGCCGACCUGAGAGGGUGAUCGGCCACACUGGAACUGAGACACGGUCCAGACUCCUACGGGAGGCAGCAGUAGGGAAUCUUCCGCAAUGGGCGAAAGCCUGACGGAGCAACGUCGCGUGAGUGAUGAAGGUCUUCGGAUCGUAAAACUCCGUUAUUAGGGAAGAACAAAUGUGUAAGUAACUAUGCACGUCUUGACGGUACCUAAUCAGAAAGCCACGGCUAACUACGUG
rnacentral:rRNA from 1 species